UACGUAGGGUGCAAGCGUUAAUCGGAAUUACUGGGCGUAAAGCGUGCGCAGGCGGUGAUGUAAGACAGGUGUGAAAUCCCCGGGCUUAACCUGGGAACUGCAUUUGUGACUGCAUCGCUGGAGUGCGGCAGAGGGGGAUGGAAUUCCGCGUGUAGCAGUGAAAUGCGUAGAUAUGCGGAGGAACACCGAUGGCGAAGGCAAUCCCCUGGGCCUGCACUGGACGCUCAUGCACGAAAGCGUGGGGAGCAAACAGGAUUAGA
rnacentral:rRNA from 1 species